AUUGAACGCUGGCGGCAGGCUUAACACAUGCAAGUCGAGCGGGGUGAUGGUGCUUGCACUAUCACUUAGCGGCGGACGGGUGAGUAAUGCUUAGGAAUCUGCCUAUUAGUGGGGGACAACAUCUCGAAAGGGAUGCUAAUACCGCAUACGUCCUACGGGAGAAAGCAGGGGAUCACUUGUGACCUUGCGCUAAUAGAUGAGCCUAAGUCGGAUUAGCUAGUUGGUGGGGUAAAGGCCUACCAAGGCGACGAUCUGUAGCGGGUCUGAGAGGAUGAGCCGACACACUAGAACUGGGACACGGCCCAGACUCCUACGGGAGGCAGCAGUGGGGAAUAUUGGACAAUGGGGGGAACCCUGAUCCAGCCAUGCCGCGUGUGUGAAGGAGACCUUAUGGUUGUAAAGCACUUUAAGCGAGGAGGAGGCUCUUUUGGUUAAUACCCAAGAUGAGUGGACGUUACUCGCAGAAUAAGCACCGGCUAACUCUGUGCCAGCCGCCGCGGUAAUAC
rnacentral:rRNA from 1 species